rnacentral:rRNA from 1 species
UGGGGAAUAUUGGACAAUGGGGGGAACCCUGAUCCAGCCAUGCCGCGUGUGUGAAGAAGGCCUUAUGGUUGUAAAGCACUUUAAGCGAGGAGGAGGGUACUGGUAUUAAUACUACCAGCUACUGGACGUUACUCGCAGAAUAAGCACCGGCUAACUCUGUGCCAGCAGCCGCGGUAAUACAGAGGGUGCGAGCGUUAAUCGGAUUUACUGGGCGUAAAGCGUGCGUAGGCGGCUAAUUGAGUCGGAUGUGAAAUCCCCGAGCUUAACUUGGGAAUUGCAGUCGAUACUGGUUAGCUAGAGUGUGGGAGAGGAUGGUAGAAUUCCAGGUGUAGCGGUGAAAUGCGUAGAGAUCUGGAGGAAUACCGAUGGCGAAGGCAGCCAUCUGGCCUAACACUGACGCUGAGGUACGAAAGCAUGGGGAGCAAACAGG